rnacentral:rRNA from 1 species
CGUGGCUAACCUGCCCUUGGGACGGGGACACCCCCGGGAAACUGGGACUAAUCCCCGAUAGGUGAAGAUUCCUGGAACGGGUUUUUGCCGAAAAGACGUUUAGGGCAUGCUUCUAGGCGUUGCCCAAGGAUGGGGCCGCGGCCGAUCAGGUUGUUGGUGAGGUAAUGGCUCACCAAGCCUUUAACCGGUUCGGGCCGUGGGAGCGGUAGCCCGGAGAUGGGCACUGAGACAAGGGCCCAGGCCCUACGGGGCGCAGCAGUCGCGAAAACUUCGCAAUAAGCGAAAGCUUGACGGGGCCAUCCCGAGUGCCAUCUGCUGAGGAUGGCUUUUACCCAGUGUAGAUAGCUGGGGGAAUAAGGAGAGGGCAAGUCUGGUGUCAGCCGCCGCGGUAAUACCAGCUCUCCGAGUUGUGGGGACGUUUAUUGAGCCUAAAGCAUCCGUAGCCGGCUGGGCAAGUCCUCUGUUAAAUCCAGCGACAAAUCGUUGGCCUGCGGGGGAUACUGCUCGGCUAGGGGGCGGGAGAGGCCGUCGGUAUUCUUGGGGUAGGGGUGAAAUCCUAUAAUCCCGGGAGGACCACCAGUGGCGAAGGCUGUCGGCUAGAACGCGCCCGACGGUGAGGGAUGAAAGCUGGGGGAGCGAACCGGAUUAGAUACCCGGGUAGUCCCAGCUGU